rnacentral:rRNA from 1 species
UCAAGAAACUUCCACAAUGGGCGAAAGCCUGAUGGAGCGACGUCGCGUGAUGGACGAAGUGCUUCGGCACGUAAACAUCUUUUAUGUGGGAUGAAAUUAUUGACAGUACCACAUGAAUAAGGGGCUCCUAACUCUGUGCCAGCAGGAGCGGUAAUACAGAGGCCCCAAGCGUUAUCCGGAAUCACUGGGCGUAAAGGGUGUCGAGGCGGUUGUAUUAGUCGUUCGUAAAAUCUACGAGCUUAACUUGUAGGCGGCGAACGAAACGGUACGACUUGAGGUUUGGAGAGGUGCGUGGAACUCACGGUGUAGGGGUGAAAUCCGUUGAUAUCGUGGGGAACACCAAAGGCGAAGGCAGCGCACUGGCCAAAAUCUGACGCUCACACACGAAAGCGUGGGGAGCAAACAGGAUUAGAUACCCUAGUAGUCCCUGAGCGGGCUGGCAAGGCGCAU